rnacentral:lncRNA from 1 species
CAGGGCUGGGGCGGGGAGGGGGGUGUUGGAAAUUAAAACAGACGAUGACCUUUCCUUUCCCCGUCCGGCUUUCCCAAGUUUAAAACGCUUUUCAAAACCACGAGCGUCGCUUCCGAUCCCGCUCCCCACCCCAUCCCCGCCGCCACCCACCCCACCCCCCGGACAGUGAAUUUAAAUAUGUCCUGUCUCAAGGUUUUUUUCGCUGUGAAUUUCAUAAUAUAAAAUUUGCAUAUUUCAUCUGCAAUCAAACCUCUUUCCCCCCAUCCACGCCCCCCCUCCCGUGUGAAUGUUAUACUCAUUACUACCCCUGAUGCCGAAGCACCUGCAAAACUAGCUGUUCUCCAAUUUUCCAGAAACUGCCUUUUCGCUUUUGUUUUUGUGCCCUGGUAUAGGAACCUGAGCUUCAACGACGGAGCUAAAAUGAAUUCAGGGUGAGAUACCCCUCCCCCCAAGCCGCACUCUUUAAAAAUUUUGGCUGAAUGUCUAAAGAAGCUACGAGCACCCCCGGAGGCCUUUAAGGAAAACAGUCUACUGGCUGCGCACAGCUGCAGUUGGGGGCAGGGAGGGGGAGGUGCUGGAGAGACCAAACAGGGCCCCAGAAGGCUGAGCAAGGUCAUGAUUUCUUUUCGGUUACAAGAUCACGUCUCAUCAUUAGUGUUUAUUGCGAAACAGAUAUGAUGGUCAAAGGGGCAUUUCCACUGAUUCUUUCAAGUAUCGGGUCUACUUAAAAUUUUUUUUUUUCUCUAUGAAGACUAAGGUAGUCCUGGGCAAGGCUGGAGAAGGGUGGCCAUGUAAUGGAAUUUCAGAUUUUGGAGUCUGACACACUUCGAAUUUUCUCUUACUGGCUGUGUGACCUUGAGCUAUUACUUAGCCUAACAUAACCUCUGUUUUCCAUCUGUAAAAUGGGAUCCGAGCUCCCAACUUAAUUAGGAAUGUUUGAGCUGUUAUUUUACUUCUUGUUAUAACUCAUUUUGACUUGCUGUGGGUCAGACACUGUUAGGUGGUUUACUUAUAUUAUCAUUAAACCUUCAAUAUUAUCUACAAGGUAGAUUCUACUACUAACUGUGUUUUACAAGCUCAGAAAACAAGGAGGUUAAAUAACUUGUCCAAGGUCACACAUCCAUGAGAGACAGAACUGGGAUCUGAAUACUGUAAAUCUGUUUUGAAUGCUGCUUUUGACAAGUUUAGGUUCUCAGUGGUAUUUUGGAGUGCUUAAAAUUUCCAUCAGUGUGCCCCCCACCCCCAGUUUGUUACAUACAAUUCUCAUGUAAAGUGCUAUGCAAAUACAUCUUCAUAACUGCAGGGCACCAUCCCCUUCCAAAUAGAUUGUGCCAUUUACUUCUUCCAUAGAAGCUGUGGACCUGCCACUGCCAGAGACUGUAGCAUAAAUACGCCACACAGUGUGUGGAACAGUGUCAGGUAUACAGGAAACUGUAAGUGCUGGUUAGUAUUGAUAUUGAUGGUACUAUUGCUGAUUAAGGUAUAGAAAUACUUUGUAAAUUACAUAGAACAUAAGGAUCCCUGCUUUUAUCACUACUAGUACUACUAAUUGUAAAAAAAAAAAGUUCAGCUGAAGCAACAAGAAGUAUUUUGAUUUUGACGCUUGACCUUCAGAACCUGUUUUCCCCCAUUCAGCCCUCCCCAGCACCCUGAUAUUCCACUCAUUCUGGGGUCCUAGGGUGCAAAAGAAGGUGAAUUUUUAAGAAUAGGGAGAAAGGGGGAAGGAAGAGCCCUAGGGAGCCCCUCUUUCAUCUCAAAAGCAGUCAGAUUUCUGUUUCUGCAAAACAGUGAGCUCACUGUGCAGUCCCCAACAAUAAUAAACUUUCGCAGGCCGCUGGCUCCCGGCAGUGAUUCCUCUGUAAAGAGCUGCUGGAAGCAUUGCCUCACCCUCCCAGACUUCAACCCUCCCCACACCACAGCUACCCUGGAGUGAGUCAAAACACAGGGCUAGGAAAUAGAGUGACAUUCCCACCAGCCUGGGGCUCCAGGCUGCUUAGCUUUAGCUUGGCUAGUUAAUCUAUGCCUUUAUACUUAUUCAGCCUAUCCCAUUAUUAAACCAAAAAAUACUGAAGAAAGCAACUUAGCCCCAACCCUCUAGCCAGGCUGCUAGAGAAAGCAAGUCGGAUUCUGUGUCAUAGUGCUAUGUUUGGUAUGCACACACAUAUGCCUCCAUCUCCUUGUCUGCCUUUGCUGUUACUAAAGAAGAUACACACACACACACAUAUAUGCCGGGUAUCCUCAGACACACCAAGUUAGAAAUAAACAUGCAUUUAAACAAACUUCCAUUACAGUCUUGUAAUCCUUUAAUUUAAAAGGCAUAGCUCUCUCGAUACCUUUCCCCUCAAAGAAUCAUCAUCACUGAAGGUGAUAAAUUUCAUCUUAACCACUUGAGAUAGCCCUGUUUGGGGAUGUGUCAGUGAUUGUGAGAGGCAAGAGUAUCAAUAUUUUGGAGAGAAAUUUCCCUUGGAGAAUUGCA